rnacentral:rRNA from 1 species
CGCGGUAAUACGGAGGGGGCAAGCGUUGUUUGGAAUUAUUGGGCGUAAAGGGCAUGUAGGCGGUUUGGUAAGUUAAAGGUGAAAUACCAGGGCUUAACCCUGGCGCUGCUUUUAAUACUGCAGGACUAGAGUCCGGAAGAGGAUAGCGGAAUUCCUAGUGUAGAGGUGAAAUUCGUAGAUAUUAGGAGGAACACCAGUGGCGAAGGCGGCUGUCUGGUCCGGUACUGACGCUGAGGCUGCGAAAGCGUGGGGAGCAAACAGGAUUAGAUACCCUGGUA